AUUGAACGCUGGCGGAAUGCUUUACACAUGCAAGUCGAGCGGCAGCGCGGCCUUCUUGCUGGCGUCGCGCUGCGAACGGGCGAGUAAUGCAUCGGAACAUGCCCAGUCUAUGGGGAUAACACUUCUAAAGAAGUGCUAAUACCGCAUACGUCCUUAUAUGGAAAGCGGUGGAUCGCAAGACCUCGCGCGAUUGGAUGUGCCGAUGUCAGAUUAGCUAGUGGGUUGGGUAAAGUCCUACGAAGGCGACUAUCUGUAGCUGGUCUGAGAGGAUGAUCAGCCACCCUGAGAUUGAGAAACGGCCAAGACUCUUAGGGGAGGCAGAAGUGGGGAAUUUUGGAAAAGGGGGGAAACCCUGCUGAAGCAAUUCCGCGUGAGUGAAGAAGGCCUUCGGGUUGUAAAGCUUUUUAGGAAGGAAGGAAACGGUGGGAUGUAACAUAGUACGCUAAUGACGGUACCUGACGAAGAAGCACCGGCUAACUACGU
rnacentral:rRNA from 1 species